rnacentral:rRNA from 1 species
UACAGAGGGGGCCAGCGUUAUUCGGAAUUAUUGGGCGUAAAGGGCGCGUAGGCGGCCAUGCGUGUCCUCCGUGAAAUCCCUCGGCUUAACUGAGGACGUGCGGAAGAAACUGCAAGGCUCGAGUCCGGGAGAGGGGGGUGGAAUUCCCAGUGUAGCGGUGAAAUGCGUAGAUAUCUGCAGGAACACCCGUGGCGAAAGCGGCGCGCUGGACCACAACUGACGCUGAGGAACGAAAGCUAGGGGAGCAAACAGG